GACGAACGCUGGCGGCGUGCUUAACACAUGCAAGUCGAACGAUGAACCACUUCGGUGGGGAUUAGUGGCGAACGGGUGAGUAACACGUGGGCAAUCUGCCCUGCACUCUGGGACAAGCCCUGGAAACGGGGUCUAAUACCGGAUAAUACUCCCGCACUCAUGUGUGGGGUUAAAAGCUCCGGCGGUGCAGGAUGAGCCCGCGGCCUAUCAGCUUGUUGGUGAGGUAAUGGCUCACCAA
rnacentral:rRNA from 1 species